rnacentral:rRNA from 1 species
UUGAACGCUGGCGGCAUGCUUUACACCUGCAAGUCGAACGGUAACAGGCCUUCGGGUGCUGACGAGUGGCGAACGGGUGAGUAAUGCAUCGGAACGUGCCCAGAGGUGGGGGAUAACGCAGCGAAAGCUGUGCUAAUACCGCAUGUGAUCUGAGGAUGAAAGCGGGGGACCAAGCAGCAAUGUUUGGACUCGCGCCUCUGGAGCGGCCGAUGUCAGAUUAGGUAGUUGGUGGGGUAAAGGCCUACCAAGCCGACGAUCUGUAGCUGGUCUGAGAGGACGACCAGCCACACUGGGACUGAGACACGGCCCAGACUCCUACGGGAGGCAGCAGUGGGGAAUUUUGGACAAUGGGCGCAAGCCUGAUCCAGCAAUGCCGCGUGCGGGAAGAAGGCCUUCGGGUUGUAAACCGCUUUUGUACGGAACGAAAAGGCUCUGGCUAAUACCUGGGGCUGAUGACGGUACCGUAAGAAUAAGCACCGGCUAACUACGUG